rnacentral:rRNA from 1 species
UACGGGGGGGGGUAAGCGUUGUUCGGAAUUACUGGGCGUAAAGGGCGCGUAGGCGGUCUUGUCAGUCCCUUGUGAAAUCCCCCGGCUCAACUGGGGAACUGCACGGGAAACAGCAGGGCUUGAGUUCGGGAGAGGGAAGCGGAAUUCCGGGUGUAGCGGUGAAAUGCGUAGAUAUCCGGAGGAACACCGGUGGCGAAGGCGGCUACCUGGACCGGUUCUGACGCUGAUGCGCGAAAGCGUGGGUAGCAAACAGG